UUGGUGGAGGGCCUGCUAUGGCUCUUGCUCAAGUGGCCGGGUAAUCGUCAGCUGAGGAGAGAAAGCCCCGCCAGCUCCGCACAGUUCUCCUUAGGUCUUAGUAACAACCAAGAGAAAGGGUGGGGAAGGGCAGGCUGCGCAGCACUAUUUGUGAUCUGCCCUUGUGUUCAGUGAGUAAUCACAGUUGGAGGAAAUCAAAACCGAAAAUUGGAGUCCCUUGUCAUCCAUUCAUUCCUUCAACAGAAAUCUAUCGAGUUGGAGGCGUUGUGUGAUUGCUGGAGUUUGAGGUGAAUAAGGCAGACACAGCUCCUGCCCUCAUGGCAUUUGCGACCUAGAAGGGAAGAGAAACAAGUAAAGGAUGCAUCGCAGUGAAGUGUGGUGACAAGCUACAAUCAAGCCCUGGGGACUAAAUCAAAGAAGUGGAAGACUCUGUCUCUUGCUCAGGGAGUCCACAGCUGAAGUGAGAUGGCCAAAUGUGCCCAGUCACCUCCAAAACUCCUAGUUUAGGAAAAGCUAUGUCCUGCCCACCAGCAACGGCAAGUUUCCUUCUGGGUGGAAGUGAGAUGCCCCAUCACCUGGGUGAGGCAUGAUUGGGAACUCGUUCCAGGACCAGCAGCUGAACGCACAUCAGUGUAUCAGUUUCACUGAUUGCAAAGAAGUUUCCAAAACUGCAGGUUCUCUUUUAACCUCCGUAUUGGGGAAUGGGAUGGGACUCCCUGCUCCCUCCCUGAGCCUGACUUUGGGACCUCCGUGUUCCGCCAGAUAGAUGCUGAGUCUACUUCCUCAAGCUACUGCAAGAGAAGAUUAUGGCCUGCUUCUAGGAGGCCGGUGGAGCAGAAGCAACAGAAAGUGGUAGAGGGGGAGAGGGGGUGGGCAGUGAGGAGUGAUUCCCUGUGCAGAUGGCUUUUUACAGAAAUCCAGCGGGGGCAGAGAGCAGGAACCUGUUCUGCUCUGAAGAGACCAAGGAGCACAAGGCAGUGACUGCAUCACAGUGCCCCGACCCCGUGACCCUCUCCUGGUAGCCCUCACGCAUCUCACUAGCUACUCCUCCUCCCAAGAAGGAGAGAGAUGGGAAAGUUCCAGCCUUCCCCUUUUGUGGGCUGAGGAAUACAAGUCUCUCCUCUACAAAAAUGUGAAGAAGGGAAAAUGAUGAUUAUCCCCAAGGGGACGUAACUGCGGUCGCCAGCUUAACCUAGGUAUCUAACAUAAUUGUCCUUUGCUUCCCUCAGUGGUGUUUCUGA